CUCUCUCCCCCUCCCUCCUGGCUCACCUCCCCUCGCAUCUCCCUCUAUCCCUCUCUCAUUUCCUCUUUCUCUUCUUCUCUCUCCUUCAGCCUUCCCCCUCUCCUUCUUUCUCUCCACCUCCCUCUCUUCUCUCCUUCUCUCCCCCUCCCUGUCUCCCCCUCCCUCUCUCUUCUCCCUCUCCCUCCAAGUCUGGCACUGAACGCGAACUGUUUUGCUUUGCUCCGGGAAGAGUGCAGACACAUAACGUGAAAUCCCGAGCUUUUUGCGUGGUGCAUUUAAAAUGCUUCCUUAUUUAUAUUACCCUCAUUCCCUCACCUCUCCCACCCCCUCACCAGUCCUUCCAAAUUUCCCUAGAAAUCUAUGUAAAGCGUGUGGAGGGGAAACAUUUGCACAAAAAGUGAAGGAGCUCGCCAAGGUAGUUGAACCUGUCUGGACUACUGGAGGUCUGCACAAGGGGUGGCCACUGAAGGAGGGUAUCUCAGAGGCCACGGGAACUGAAGAGUCUGAACCAAUGAGCUCUGGAGUCCCAGGAGUCUCCCGCUGAAGAAAGAAUCUAAAGAGAUGCCUAAGUUCCAGGGAAUUUUCCUCUAAGACAAAUAACGUCAAGAUAGCUUUUAUUUUAUUUAUGUUUAUUAUUUUUCCCCAUUAAAAUAUGUGUCAUCUUCAGAGAUCCUGGGCUAGAAUUUUUUUAUUUUCCUUUUGCUGGUUGAAGAAAAAUCUCAAACCCUGAUGCUGUUUUUGUUUAUUUCAUGAAGAAGUUAAGAUGGUGCUUGACAACUUAUGCCUCCUACAAAACCAAAAAAUAUUUUCUACACUGUGUUCAUUAAGAUCUCU